rnacentral:rRNA from 1 species
CAACUUUCAACAACGGAUCUCUUGGUUCUGGCAUCGAUGAAGAACGCAGCGAAAUGCGAUACGUAGUGUGAAUUGCAGAAUUCAGUGAAUCAUCGAAUCUUUGAACGCACAUUGCGCCCUUUGGUAUUCCAAAGGGCAUGCCUGUUCUAGCGUCAUUU